rnacentral:rRNA from 1 species
AUUCUGAAUAUUUCAAAGGUUUGUUUCGCACAUUCCGCUAGAAGAUAAAUCUGUUAAAGAUUAGGUUGUUGGUAAUUUAAAAGCUUACCAAGCCUUUGAUCUUUAGUUGAUCUUAGAGGAUGAUCAACCACACUGGAACUGAAAUAAGGUCCAGGCUGACAUGUCGGCCAGCAGUGAGGAAUAUUGGACAAUGAACGAAAGUUUGAUCCAGCAAUACUAACUGGGUGAUGACGGCUUAUUUAAGUUGUAAGAUCCUUUAACUAAAGAAGAUAAUGACAUUAUUUAAUUGAAUUAGUCCUGGCUAAUACUCGUGCCAGCAGCCGCGGUAAUACGGGAAGGGCAAGCGUUAUCCGGCAUGACUGGGCGUAAAGAGUCCGUAGACUGUAAAGUAAGUUUUUUGUCAAAUUUUAAAACGCAAUUUUGAAAUAGCAAUCAAUACUACUUUACUUCGAGUUUAAUGCAGAAAAGUAGAAUUUUAUACGAAGGGGUGAAAUCUGUAGAUAUAUAAAGGAAUGCCAGUAGCGAAGGCGGCUUUUUGGCAUAAACUGACGUUGAGGGACGAAAGUGUGGGUAGCAAACAGGAUUAGAGACCCUGGUAGUCCACACCGUAAAUUCUGAGUGCUGUAAUUUAAUUGUAAUAUUUUAAAAUAUUAUUUAGAUUUUCAAGCUAACGCAAUAAGCACUCCGCCUGAAGAGUACGAUCGCAAGAUUGGAACUCAAAGGAAUUGACGGGGGUCUAACACUAGUGGUGGAGCAUGUGGUUUAAUGCGAUAAUCCGCG